AUUUAAACAAGCUCCCAAGAAGGCAACAGGGACCCACUGUACCCCAAGAGGCACUCCAAGUUUCCUUCAGAGAGGAAAAAGAGAGACGGGGCUCCUAGAACCCACUCUCCCCAAAGGCGAGUUUCCCAGAGGAAAUGACAUUUGAAGAGAGACUAAAGGAUGAGAAAAAGACAGCCUUCCUGGAAGAGGAAACAGCAAAUGCAAAAACUCUGAGUUAGGAAAGAACUUGAUGCACUUGAGAAACAAAAAGAAGGCCGGCAAGACUGAAAUCCACAUAAGUCAGACCCGGGCACAGCAAACUGGACGUCCUCAGUAUAUAUGUGGCAACUGAAACCAGGCAUUUAGGACAUGAUCUCAUUCUGUUGCCCAGGGUGAGUGCAGUGGCACCUUCAUGGCUCAUUGCAGUCUCGAUCUCCCAGGCUCAAGCGAUCCUCCCACCUCAGCCUCCCAAAGUGCUGGGAUUGCAGGCGUGAGCCACCUUGCCCAGCCCAUUCUGCAAUCUUCGGAAGGAAGUCACUAUAUGCAGCCUAUGCUUGAGGAGUGGGGAGUUGAAUUCCACAUCCUUGAGGGCAGAAUACCUAAAUAAAUUAUUUGGAAUUCUUCU
rnacentral:lncRNA from 1 species